GCAACCGUAGCGUAGAGGUAAGCAUGUCAGCCUAUGACGCUGAACGUCUGGGUUCGAAUCCCGACGAGAGCA
rfam:Stomoxys calcitrans breed 8C7A2A5H3J4 unplaced genomic scaffold Scaffold30, whole genome shotgun sequence.